AGAACCAGUUAUGUUGUUCUUGAUUAUCGGUCUUUCAUUGGUUGGCGUAUCUAUAGUCACAAUUUCUUUUGUCCUCAUUAUCAAGAAGAAAAAGAAAGUCAAACACCAUAGUCAGCAAGAAAAGAUUGAUUACGCCAAUAUGAAUUGUGCUUACGACGGUUAUGACAAUCAGGAAAAUUUAGAAACCAAUUACAACUUAUAACUUGAUUCCAGUCACCAGCUCACUUCUGAAAUAUAGGUUACCUAAUUCAUGAAACGUUAAGCUAUAGUUUAUUGACUAAUAGAGUU